GUUUGUCUUUGCUGAGAUCCCCUUUCUCCUAUCCUUAUUCUCUCAGCUCACCCACAAAUUGCUGCUACCGGACAGAUCCAAUCAGCUUGCUUUCUUUACUCGCUGCAUUGAGGUUGCUCGUCCUCCACCUGAAUCCACUCCGCUGCUGGUUCUGCUACAGGUUUAGCAUCGACGGCAGCUGGUUUGGCUGCUCGUACGCCUCAUCGGUCUCUUGUAAAUGGCGAUGGAGGGGUAGCAGCGCUCAAGGAUUAGCUGCGCCAGGGAGAUAGUGAGAUCGACUUGGUAAUGGAUUUCAUCUCCCGCGGGCUCGCAGUCCUCUUGGAUCCAGCUUUAGUAUGAGGAUGCUGACGGCAUUUUCUUCCCCAAGAGCACAAGCCAGAAGCAUCAUCUAUAUAUCCACUCGAGGCAGCUCGGCACUUCACAGCAACAUUAUUCGAAGUUCAACCUGCAGGUAGUUGCUUUGCGUGCUAUCGCAACUCAGAUGGAGCUGGUGGCAUCAGGACAUGAAGCCGCUAUCGAAUUUAAGGUUGAUCAGAUAUGAAAACCAUAUAAUGCAUCAUACAUAUUUCUCUAUAUCAUAGCAAGCAAUCCCAUUUGUUUAUGUUACAGUUGUAGUAUGGUUCUAGUCUUCUAGAGUAUGUAUUAUCCUAAUGUGAAUACAUUGGAACCAACAUCCACGCAUCAACCUUCUCUGGAUGAGUAAAAGUAUGAACCCAGACAUAUAGAAUUGCAUUACUUAAUAUCGAAUACACAUGAUAGUUUUUUCUAUUUGUAGAUUAUCAACCUUUUGAGCUAACAUGUCAAACCUUUUUGAUGAGCACUUCUUAGAGCAUAACUGAUGUAUUAUUGAUCCAUUAAUAGGUCUGAUUAUUGUACAUAAUCAACCUUCUGAACUAACAUGGCAAAUCUUUUUAGAUGAGCAAUCCCUAGAGCAUAAUUGAGGUUUUAUUGGUCCAUUAAUAGUUCCGAUCUAUAAUUUCGUGAAGAUUGUACCUAGAGGUGGUUUGAUUGCUCGACGGAGCCGGCUAGUGCCUGCUGGAGGAAGACAAUGAAGUUGACCUCGAAGAACAUGAGAUUUUGGUUGUAUGUGGACUCUAAAGAGAUAUUCUUCUAUUUGGAGAGACUGAAUCUCUGUACAUUGUUUGUGAGAUUUUGGAUUUGUUUGGAGAGUUUUGUACAAGUUCAUGUUUUUUUGUGUGGGAGGAUCAUGAGAGUUUGUUCA